CGAGUCGGCCGGGUGAUCGCGGCAGCAAUGUCGAGGAAAGUCCGGACUCCACAGGGCAGGGUGGUGGGUAACGCCCACCCGGGGUGACCCGCGGGAAAGUGCCACAGAGAACAGACCGCCUGGCAACAGGUAAGGGUGAAACGGCGGUGUAAGAGACCACCAGCAUCCUGGGUGACCAGGAUGGCUAGGCAAACCCCACCCGGAGCAAGACCAAGAAGGACUUCGGUCCGCGGAUGCCGUUUGAGCGUUGCUCGCGCGAGGCAUCCGGGUAGGUCGCACGGCGCAUGCGUCGAAGGCAGUCGGCAACGGCUGUCGCAGAUGGAUGAUCACCGGCUCCGCUUGGAGCCACAGAAUCCGGCUUACAGGCCGACUCGUCCC
rnacentral:RNase_P_RNA from 1 species